rnacentral:rRNA from 1 species
AGAGUUUGAUCCUGGCUCAGGACGAACGCUGGCGGCGUGCCUAACACAUGCAAGUCGAGCGAUGAAGCUUCCUUCGGGAAGUGGAUUAGCGGCGGACGGGUGAGUAACACGUGGGUAACCUGCCUCAAAGUGGGGAAUAGCCUUCCGAAAGGAAGAUUAAUACCGCAUAACGUAAGAGAAUCGCAUGAUUUUCUUACCAAAGAUUUAUCGCUUUGAGAUGGACCCGCGGCGCAUUAGCUAGUUGGUGAGGUAACUGCUCACCAAGGCAACGAUGCGUAGCCGACCUGAGAGGGUGAUCGGCCACAUUGGAACUGAGACACGGUCCAGACUCCUACGGGAGGCAGCAGUGGGGAAUAUUGCGCAAUGGGGGAAACCCUGACGCAGCAACGCCGCGUGAGUGAUGAAGGUCUUCGGAUUGUAAAGCUCUGUUUUCUAGGACGAUAAUGACGGUACUAGAAGAGGAAGCCACGGCUAACUACGUGCCAGCAGCCGCGGUAAUACGUAGGUGGCGAGCGUUGUCCGGAUUUACUGGGCGUAAAGGGUGCGUAGGCGGAUUCUUAAGUGGGAUGUGAAAUACCCGAGCUUAACUUGGGUGCUGCA